AGGAGCCGGGUGUCAGUGGGAGGGGCUGUGAGCAGAGAUGAGGUUUUAAGGUAAAACACUCUGAUGUGGUUUUACGUCUUCGAAGCAGAACAGUUACAGGAGGAGACAAGUGCUGUUCAGAGCAUUUUAAGCCCUUCGUCUUUCACCACAGACACCAGCAGACCUGACGGGACGCUGCAGAGGCAGCAGCUGCAGUGAGCAGGCAUGAUGAAAGCACCAGGCCGUGAAGCCCCAUUAGGAAAAGGAGGAGAAAGAAGUCAAGAGGCUCGUGGGAGAACUAAAAUCAAUGCGUGGUGGCAAGACAUGCCGGGCAGCCUGCUCUGUAGCCAUCAGCAUUGCCAACUUAAAUUGUCGAUUUGAGCACAGCCGCAAUCAUCAUCACAGGGAGAGUGUCUUAAUCUAGCAUCUUCAUUUCCUAUUCUGCGUGUCUAUUGUAUGAAGUGUGCUGCGCUAGAAGGUUUCUUCCUGGUGGCUGGGUUGCAAUUACAAAUCAGAGCCACUUGUUCACUGCUACUCCCAGGACCAUCAUGGAACGCCCAUGGGCAGCACUCUGGUUGCCAUCUGACAAGUUGUGCAGACUGGAAUUGCAGAGGAGCUAAUGCCCAUGGGAUUGCUCUUAAUCAAGGGAGGAUGGGAGCCUACAGAUGAAUUCCCUAAUCUCCAUCCUUUGGUAGAUAUUUCUAGAAAGCAUUUUUUGUGCUUCUCAGAAAUCCCAGCCAAAUGGAGUCCCGUUGCCAAC
ensembl:lncRNA